rnacentral:rRNA from 1 species
UACGUAGGGUGCAAGCGUUAUCCGGAAUUAUUGGGCGUAAAGAGCUCGUAGGCGGUUUGUCGCGUCUGCUGUGAAAACCGGAGGCUCAACCUCCGGCCUGCAGUGGGUACGGGCAAACUAGAGUGCGGUAGGGGAGAUUGGAAUUCCUGGUGUAGCGGUGGAAUGCGCAGAUAUCAGGAGGAACACCGAUGGCGAAGGCAGGUCUCCGGGCCGAUACUGACGCUGAGGAGCGAAAGCGUGGGGAGCGAACAGG